rnacentral:snoRNA from 1 species
UGGGGUACAUGAUGACAUCUACUUUGAACUCUCUCCCUGAGAUUCAGAUGAAAACAAAAGUACUGAUCCCCCU